UUUUACAUUGUACUUCAAACUAUUUUAUUGAAAAAGUAAUAAAAGUUAUAAUUUGAGUUUAAAUUGUAAAAAGCUGAUUUGAACAUUGUUUUUUAGUUAUAGAAGAUUAUACAUAUAUAUAUAUAUAUAUAUAUAUACACAUUUUUCUUCUAAUUUUUAGCAAUGUAUUCCUUAAUAUACUUUUGUGAUCGGUUCUUUAAUUCCCAGGUUUGUUACUUGAGUGAUAGAGUGAGGAGUAAAACUUGUGUUGUUAUGGUUUGUUUAUAAUUUCCUUGGUUCUCUAUAUGAAUUCCAGAGGUAUUUGUUGGUGUUAUAUAAAUAAUCAACUUUUUCAUUGUGAUUUUUUCGUUUAAUCUGCAAAUUAAAAACUCUGUCACGGAAUUAUUGUUUUUAUUUUUUAAUUAUCUAGAGUUGAUUAAUUACUGAAGAGUUUAGGUUAUACAGAGAAUGUGGAUGAUUGAUUGGACUGUAACUAUAAAUGUUUAACGGUAAAAUUUAUGAUGUAAAUGAUUUGGAUGUAGUUUGUAAAUUAUUGAUAUAUGUUUUUUGGUAAAUUUUUCUGCUGUAGUGUAAGUUUUUCUUUGAUCAAGUUAUAUCACAUGAAUUUUUUUUUUGUAGUGUAAGUUUAUAACACAUGAAAGAGAGGAAGAUAGUUGUGGUUACUUUGUUUUCCUGUACUUCACUCUUACAUCUUAUGUAGGGAGAUGUAAUACGAAUUUUAAUUAUUGUAAUCCCAUAUAUUUUAAUAUCUUUAUAUAUAAAGUUGACUUGUCUGCCUGCUCCUGCUGCCACGUCACUCUCCAGAGAAGGGCAAAGCAUGCCACGUGUUUACGAUUCUUUAACUAUCUCAAAGUGCUUUCUCGAUGAAGAUUGUUUAACUGAUUUAUGCAAUGGGCUUUUAUACUCUCUAAAGUUGGCCCAUAUAUAUAAAGUUGACUUGUCUGCCUGCUCCUGCUGCCACGUCACUCUCCAGAGAAGGGCAAAGCAUGCCACGUGUUUACGAUUCUUUAACUAUCUCAAAGUGCUUUCUCGAUGAAGAUUGUUUAACUGAUUUAUGCAAUGGGCUUUUAUACUCUCUAAAGUUGGCCCAUAAGUUAAUAGGGUACCUUUGUUGUCGAUGAUAGAAUAGCAAAGAAGAACCGCCUGACCCUUCAGAUGACACCGCCUCCUGAUCACGCUUGCGUAACGGCUGCAAUUAUCAUUUAUCUCUACAUUAAUCCGAUCAUUUACGUCUUUUGCACCACUCACCCCUCUCUCUUUCUCUCUUCUUCCUUCGCUUAUUAACUUCAUCAAUUUCGGCCGGUUGCAUAUCCGAUGGAAUCGAGGAUAGAAGUCUUGGCUGCUCUGUAUCGGUUAUCAAGACGGUGGUCUCGGCUGAAGAGAAAGAGGAAGCUUGUGAACAGACUUAUGGGGUUCAUGCCGUGUACUUAGACGGCGCUUGGUAACGUGUUUUUGCUUUUGGUUUAUGGGUUUCUCAUGUUCACGGCGGUAACAUAUCGAUCUGCCGGAAGUGAGCUUCUUCUCUAGAUUGGCCCUUGAAUCGUCAGUGGUUUGUUUUUUCCCAUGCUCGGAGUACUCCCUGAUGCUAUGCUUAUUAUGGUGUUUGUUUCAGUCUCUGUGGGAAUGGGUUUGCUCGCUGGCUCUUCCGUUACGCUUCUUACUAUUGUCUGGAGAACUUGCACAGUUGUUGGCAAGUGUGCCAUUCGUGAUACUAUUGCUGUAAACAACCAAGACACUAGAAGCUUCCAUCUUAAAGAUUCUGGUGUUAAUGUUGAUGUUUGGACCAUGUGCUUAUUCAUCAAUGCAGUUGUAAGAAAAAAUUGUAGCAGAAACGUUGAAACAUCUGACCAUGGAGAUCAUUGGUGCUAGGAGGAAGAAACUUUAUGAAGCAACAGUGUGGGUUAAGCCAAGGAUGAACUUCAAGGAGUUAUGCCGGUGAUAAUGCCCCUGCCAUUACUCCCUCCUAUCUUGGCUGCAAAUAAGAUGAUCAUAAAUCUUGGAGGGAAGUUCCACGAGAUGAUUCAGUACAAUCAUUUGCUGAUCAUGCUGUCAAGAGCAUCCAAGACAGAUUUAACUCAUUGUUACUUUCGUCAAGUUCCCGUUAUGCCGUUGUCUCUGGCUCUGAUGUGCUGUGUGCUUUGGUGUUGUACGGGAGUGGUGCUUUGAGAUUAAACUUAAACACCUCCACUUCUCAUGCUGUUGGUGAUCCAGGUCAAUAAAAAGUGUUCCAAAUGUAGGUGGCUUCUCUCCCACCAACACACUGCCACCAAAAAGUGAGAACCCACCCAAGAAAGUACAAAUAGUUUAAUUCCAGGCAGAUGCCUUAUUUGAUCACAAAUUUUUUUCUUCGUAAAUAAUGCUUUAUCAACCCUUUUAAAAUUUAUAAUUUCUCAUCAUGUCCUGUCUGUGUUUAGUUUUUCAAUGUAAGCAUAUAUGGUAUCCAUAAUUUUACCGGAUCACAAUUGUUAAGAAAUUUUGCUUAAGUCUUUUCU